rfam:Ornithorhynchus anatinus chromosome 2, whole genome shotgun sequence.
ACCCUCUAAGGGUCGCCCCUGGAGAGAUUCCAGUCCUCUUCCAGUCUCGACUACAGGAGGGAGAGUCUAACAGAGGCCUUCCCAUUCCAUUCCUAGCUUGGCCAGUGGCUAGUGAGUGGAAGGCCAUCUGUUACAAGU